AUUAUCUUUAAAUAUUAGUUUAGCCUACUCCGAUCAUCUGGUUCUCUACUCCGUCGGCUCCAACACGCUUGGUAGUGUAACACCUUGUUUAUUCCAGGGAAAUGGCAAUUCAGCAAGUGCAGCAGGAUGCAUCACAGUUGCGUAAGACAAGGCAAGUGUCAAAUGCAGGGGCAACGAUUGAAUGAUCAGCAUGUGCACAAUGUGCAACAAUAUCAGAAUGCAGAGCAGCAACAACAACAAAAUGUGCAGCAGGAACAAGAACAAAUUGUGGGGCAGCAACAACAACCGAAUCAGGAGAAGCAGCAUGAUGCAGAAGCAUCAACUAUAAUUAUACAAAUCCGAGUAUAGAUGAUAUGAUGAAAAUGUUUGAACAACUAAGGAAUAACAUGGGCUAACGAUGAAAAAUGGAUGAUCGCAACUAUUGAAGGUGAUUAAUAAAAGCAGUGUUGAGAAGGGCCGAUGUAAAAAAGUUUGUAUAUUUAUGUUUAUGUUAUUGUAUUUAAAUGGAUCAUGUACUUUGUUGACAAAGUGAGAUUAUCUUAUAAUUAGCACGUUUCCUUAGUAUGUUAUUUAUAAAAUAAAUCAUUUUAUAGUCAUCA